UACGUAGGGCGCAAGCGUUGUCCGGAAUUAUUGGGCGUAAAGAGCUCGUAGGUGGUGUGUCGCGUCUGCCGUGAAAGCCCGGGGCUUAACUCCGGGUCUGCGGUGGAUACGGGCAGACUAGAGGCAGGUAGGGGAGAACGGAAUUCCCGGUGUAGCGGUGGAAUGCGCAGAUAUCAGGAAGAACACCCGUGGCGAAGGCGGCUCUCUGGAACGCAACUGACGCUGAGACGCGAAAGCGUGGGGAGCAAACAGG
rnacentral:rRNA from 1 species